GUCCACCUCCUGAGUAUGAAGAAGGCUGUCCACCUCCCCCUCCUGAGCCUGAAUGCCCCCCACCUCCACCUCCAUCUCCACCUCCACCUCCACCUCCAUCUCCACCUCCACCUCCAUCUCCACCUCCACCUCCACCUCCAUCUCCACCUCCACCUCCAUCUCCACCUCCACCUCCACCUCCAUCUCCACCUCCACCCCCUCCUCCACCCCCUCCUCCUCCUCCUCCUCCACCUCCUCCUCCUCCUCCGCCUCCGCCUCCUCCUCCUCCACCAGUCGAUCGCAAUGCGAGACUUAAAAUUGCUCUAAAAGCAAUCAGGAUAUUCCAAGCCAAAAUCACGGUAGAUCCUUUUAAUAUCGCCAAGGGAUGGAAGGGCAACAAUCCUUGCAAAUUCAAGGGCUUCGUCUGCAGUACUGUCCCGGACAAGAACCUGAACGCAGUCGCCGGAGUAGACUUCAAUGGCUUUAACUUCGGAGGCCCCAACCUCGCUCUUGACGGCUUCCUUAACGGGUUACCAGACAUAACCAUCUUCCACGCCAAUUCCAACGACUUCAACGGUCGCAUCCCCAAAAUUGACACUACAAAACUCCGAUACCUUUACGAGCUGGACUUGAGCAACAACAAGCUACAUGGUGAGUUCCCAUACGAAGUCCUCGCCGCCAAGCAGCUCACCUUCCUGGACCUCCGGUUCAACUCAUUCUCUGGCGUGGUUCCGCCGCACGUCUUCAUACUAGAUGUGGACGUUAUUUUCAUAAAUGACAACAAUUUCAUACAGCAGCUCCCGGAAAAUAUAGGGGACACGCCAGCCCUUUACCUCACUUUUGCCAAUAACAAGUUUACAGGCCCCAUCCCACGCAGCAUCGGCCGAUCCAAAAACCUUCUCGAGGUCCUUUUCCUCAACAACCAGCUGUCAGGGUGCUUGCCCUACGAGAUAGGAUAUUUGAAAGACGCCACAGUGUUUGACGUUGGUUUCAACCAGUUAACUGGCCCAAUCCCGCAUUCAUUCGGCUGCUUGGACAGCAUUCAGAUCCUUAACUUGGCCGCAAACCAGUUCUACGGGCCUGUCCCUGAAACUCUCUGCGAGCUGCCCAACCUCUACAACCUGUCUCUCUCACACAACUAUUUCACUCAGGUUGGCCCCAAAUGCCGAAAAUUGAUAACGGAGAAGAAACUGGACGUGAGGAUGAACUGCAUUUUGGGACUUCCACAGCAGAAACCAGAGCAUGCCUGUUCUCAUUUCUUCUCCCAAGUCAGGCAAUGCCCUGAUCCCAAGUCAUUUAUCAAAGUCCCUUGCGGUAGGUACCCAAGCCAUCUUCCUUCAUCCUCCAAGCCCCCCGCUCUGCGAACCUAUGGUACCCUCAUCCCACAUCGACUGUGAGCCUCUCUCUCUUCAAACAUGGCCAUAAUCCUUUAAUUCUUAUAUGUAUAUUUUUCUUUUCCUGUAAUGCUCAUAUGUAUAUUUCCCCCCUUCCAUUUCAUGCCUCAUGCCUGCAACCAAAUAAUUCCAUAUAUAUUCUGUACUGGUUUCAUUUCAGUUCUUCCCUAAGAAUGUGCCAUUGUGAUAAUAAAAUUAGUAUCCUUCUAAGCUUCUGACAAAUUUAGCAAGUGACUCCUACAGUCCUACUGAAUACUCCGGUUUUUUUUUUUUUUUUUUUCAUAAUAAUUAAUUAAUAUUUUAAAAUUUUCCAUUUCAACCCACUAUAAUUCCACAUCAGUAACCAUCAUCAAAUUGUAUUCCACUAAAUGCGUGCCAAAUGGUCGAGGAUUUUUCAAACGAUUUUUAGAAAAAUUGAAAGGAAAAGGGGCUUUUAAAAUUUUAAAAUGGCAAUGCUUUAAGAAAAGUAAGCUGUCCUCCACUGAACAGGGUCCUACUCCUUUUCUUCUGAAUCGGGGGAUGCCUUCACCCCAAGGGCAAAUUGACCCUUCAUUGACCUAGGACGGUGGCCAGUGCCAAAAGCCAAGCACAGCUCGACCUUGCUUUUGUGAAAAAACCCAACACAAAUUAAAGGGGGUUGGGGAGGUGGGUCCUAUCACCCAUGCCGACAAGCUACUUAUCUUCAUACAGACUUCAUUGAUGACACAAUAAAUUUGUGUACCCACCAAUUUCAGGUUAUAUGAAGAUAGAGUGAGUGGAUAAGAAAUGAUUUACAUUGACAUAAACUACAAGCACCUUAACGUGAGGGGUGAUUGAUUGAAUAUAUUUAGAAUGGUCCUUGAAAGGACUCUUAAGUUUUACAUUUCAUUUCUAUUGUCGAUAUUUUGAUUUGACUUGUUGUCUUCAUCCAUUUGUAGCACUGUAACGUCCAACGAAUGAGUCAAAAAUGGUGUGAAUAAACUUGAAGGAAAUGACAAAAUGUUGGUCCCUAUCAAAGUCGUAUCAAUUGCUAUUAAAUUUGUAUAACAAAAUUUGGAUGAUUGAAUGAAGUAUUAUAAAUAAAUGAAAUCAAGAUACAAUAAUAUAAAUAAUUAUACAUGAAAAGGUAUACAUUACACCAUUUGAUUAAUAAUAUUAUUUUUUUAUAUUUAUAAAAUAAUAGUGUGAUUAAUGUUACAUCAUUUUCAGUAUCUAUUAAUAUUUAUCGUAGAAGCUAUACUUCAACAUUGCUAUAGGUAUAGGUAGACCCAUUUUGAAAGUAUAUAAAUGGUAUGAUGCGAAAGAUACAAUAGUCGGAUGGGACGAUGUUAUGGGUGGACCUGUAUUGAAAAUAUAUAAAUGGCGUAAUAAAGAGAUACAAUAACCAUAUGACAUUCGAGAAUAAUUGAUAAAUGGUGAUUGACAAUAACUUUCCAUAUUUUAGUACUAUUAAUUACAUUAUUUUGUCAUAGGGUUUUGAUUAAAUGCAUAUUGUUUUUCUUUGAUUUAAAAUUUAAUUAUACAAGGUUUGUGGAAAAAUUGUGCUUAAGACUAAUUAGACCAAAAAAUUUGUCUUAAAUCCAUAAAACCUAUCCAUUCAAGCCCAAGACUCAACAUAAGUAUAAGAAUUGAGAAGAAGGAUAUGAAACUUCAAUAUUUAUAAACUAUCAUUUUAUGAUUAUGAAAAAAAAAACACAAAAUUCAACCUAAAAGUUAUAUAAAAAAAAAUAAAACUCUUCAAAAUAAAAAUUAAAAUACAAUUUUUCUUAAUAAUAAUAUUGGAAAAAAGCAUUUUUAGAAUAAAAUUGAAAAGCAAAAAAAAAAUUAAUAAAAUCAAAUUUCCCUUUUUAAUAAACUAAGUUUUUCUUUUAAUAUAUUAUUAUUAUUUAAAUAAAUCCCUAUUUUAGAAUUUGAAAUCACAUUUUUUUAAUAAAUUUGAACUUUUUUUCUCUCUUGAUUUUUUAUAAUUAAUUUAAAAUAUUUUUUAGGACAAAACGGGGAUAACAUUUUUUAAAAAAUAAAUUGUAAUUUUUAAAAAAUAAAUUUAAGAAUUUUCUUUUAAAACAUAAAUUAAUUUUUUUAUAAAUAUUUUCUAAUUCAAAUUGAAAUUGAUUUUUGUCAAAAUAAAAUAAAAUAAAAUAAAAAGAUAUUUUGUAAAUAACAUUUUCUUCUAUUUAAUAAAUAAAAAAUUAAGAUUUUUUUUUUGUGCAAUCUCUGUGGAUAUAUUUUUGUUUCUUAUAAUCAAUGGUCCCUCCUGUGAGUCAUGCCACUGGACCGUUCUCCCCGUAUUUAUUCGGUUGGGUAAUGAUGAGUUGACAGUUCAAGACAUGACCGACCAUACUAUGAUACACACAGCUAGCCUCCAUGGCAUGCAGAACUGGUCCAAAAUUUUCAAUAAUGAGAGGUUGAUAGAUAGAGAGUAGUGACCUUCCAACCACUUUAAUUGGUGACAAUGAUUUAUUGGCAAAUAGUAAUUCAAGUAGUAAUUGAAUGGAAAAAAAUUUAUACAUUUUAUAUAGUAAUCACUUUUUAAUAUUUUUAUUCAUAUAAACAUGAACAAAAGACAAAAAUAUAUAACAAAAAUGAUUAGAAAUAACACCCCAUCAAGUACAAUGUCAACGGAUUUCAAAACUCUUUUGAAAAGAAAACAAUAAAAUAAUUUUUUUUUUAAAUAUUUUAUUUUAAAUUUUGGGAUAAUUUUUUUAAAUCAAUUUAAGGUGUUUUCACAUAUUUUUAUUUUAUAGAAUAAAAAAUUUAGUUAAAAAAUAUAAUAGCGAAGAUGAAGACUAUUUUCUAUAAUUUUAUUUAAAAAAUUAGAAAGAGUUCUAUCGUAACUUGGACUACAAACUCAACUAGAAUUUAAAAACAAUUAAUUGAGCUCAAUCUAAUCUAAUAUCUAAUUUGCGGUGUUCGUCCCAAGUUUAAUCCAACUUCAUUUCUCCAUAUUUGGGUUAAAAUGAAGCUUAUUGGAUUAAAUUCAAGUUGGUUUGGAUGAUCAAAUUAUAUAAUUCAAAAUCUAUUUAUAAUUUUAAAUUUUUUUAUAUAUAUUUAUAUGAAAAUUUUAAUAAUAAAUAAAACAAAAUUUCAAGAUGAUAUUAAAAAAGUAAAAAUAAAUUUAUACAUCUAAAAUAAUGAAGAAGUAUAUGAUAUAAUAUAAUUUGAUAUUUUUCAAGAAAAAAAAAUUAUAUUAAAUUAUAUACAUUAUAAAUGUUAUAAAAAUACUAAAUUAAACUUGAUUUUUAUUUUACUUCUUCUCUUCAUCUAUUUGUGGUACCAUAAUGUGCAAAGAAUUAGUCAAAAAUGGUGUGAAUAAACUUUAAGGAAAUGACAAAAUGUCGAUAUCCUAUAAAGUUGGUAUCACUUGCUAUUAAAUUUGUACACACGAUUGAAUAAAGUAUAAAUAAAUGAACUUAAGAUAUACAUAAAACUGUAUACAUCACAUUGUUUAAUUAAUAGUGUUUUUUAUGCUUAGUAUACUUAAAUGUUAUUGGUGGUGUCUUUUCUAUAUCUAUUUAAAAAAAAGAGAGUAUGUUUUAAUGUUAUGUCAUUUUCGGUAUCUAUCGAAAAAACCAUAUUUUCAAUAUUUAGAGAAAAAAAGUAUACUUGGACCAUGUUAUAGAUAGACCCAUUUUGAAAAUAUAUGUGAAAGAUACCUAAUUCAAAAUUCAUUUAUAAUUUUUUUUACAUAUAUUUAUAUGAAAAUUUUAAUAAUAAAUAAAAUAAAAUUUCAAGAUAACAAUUAAAAAGUAAAAAUAAAUUUAUAUAUCUAAAAUAAUGAAAAAGUAUAUGAUAUAAUAUAAUUUUAUAUUUUUUCUUAAAAAUUUAAUGUAAGAUAAUAUACAUUAUAAAUGUUAUAAAAACAUAAAAUCAAAUUCAAAUUAAAUUCGAGUUGUUCAAACCUUGACCUAAACCCAACUCAAAUUGAGAUCGAGUUAAAAAAACCUAAUUAAAACUCGAUCCAAGUAUUGACAAUAAUUGUCCAAAUGUUUACUUGAAUUCAAGUUGGGUUGGAGAUAUCGGUCCAAAUUGCACCCCUACCAAUAAUAUUAUAAUUUUUUUUUUUUACUCUUCUUUUAGCCUACUAUACUCCCAUUUUCUAUCUAAUUUUGAAAUAAUUUUUUUUUUUGAAUAUGAGUAUGAUUUUAUAUUGACUUCUUGUAUUACGAGUCUUCUAGUCGGUAAAGAUCUUUCUUUCCUUCUAUUUCCAACUCCAUGUUGGUUUUAUUCUCAUUUAUUUUAAUAUUUUUUAUUAUUUUAAAAAUCACAUUACGAAACUUCAAACACCAAGAAAGGGCCCCCCAUUUCUUGACUCUAGAGGUCUUCAUCACUUUUCUAUUUUUCUUGUUAUUAAACCACAUAUACACAUGACCUUUCCUUGGCUUUAAUUUGUGACCACAAAAAUUAAAAGGCAUCUUUGUACUUAAUCCCAAGGAAAAAAUAGUGCCUAACCCAAGUCACCAUUUCCUUAUCAACAUAGAAUAUAACAAAUCGAGCAUUUGAUUACCUAAUAUGUUAUAUUCUAGAAUUAAGUUUAUUAUAACAAAAACUUGUUAUAACUUAUAAUAUAUCUAUUAUUAGAAAUGUAUUUCAAAGGGUUGGGCCAACAACCAACUUGACCAAACCAUGGUUCUUAAGGAUUUGAAAUUAUGCCCAAUAGGUUUUGAACCCUGAUUUUUGUAAAAUGCCCAUCAUGACUAUGAGAUUUCAACCACCAUGAGAUUUUGAAGACUUAAAAGGCACCAUAUUAUUGAAUAUGACUAUUAUUAUUAUUAUUAUUAUUAUUAUUAUUAUUAUUAUGUCGCUUAAUACUAAUUAAAUGAUGAUAGACAAGGUGUAACUAACUUGGAUUUGAACUUGGAUAAAGUAGUAUCAAAACAGGGUGUCAAAAUGCUUCUCGAAUGAUUUUUAUGGAUAGUUAAGGAUAAAAAUAUUAAUUUUCACCAAUAUAUUAAUAAUUGGAUUUUGUGAAUAUAUUGGGAAAUAUCAAUGAAAAUUUUGAAAACAAUAUUGAUAAAAAAUCACAAACAAUGUGUGAAAACUCUAUAAAAUAGUAAAAAUUUCAUUACUAUACAAAGAAAAUGUAAUGAUUGUUUUUUAAUGACUUUUUUUUAUAAAAAAAAUUGUCAUUAUCUCUAACCAAUAGCAUAAACAAUGACUAUAUAAAAUAAAUAGUCAUCUUGCUUUUCUAUAUAUAUAUAUAUAUAUAUAUAUAUAUAUAUAUAUAUAUAUAUAUAUAUAUAUAUGUAUAUGUAUAAGAUUUGGUGGGAAAACAAUUUUUGUUUCCUUUUUUUUUUUUUAAAAAGUCAUCUUUAUAAUGUAAAAAUAACUAUUUUAAAUAGUCAUAAUGUUUUUUCAUAUUUCAUUAUAACGUUUAGUGGGAAAAAAAUUUAUUUCCCUCCAAAAACACUUAUUCUCAAACCCUAACCCUUCUUUGCUCCUCUCUUUACUUUGAGGUGUUAUCUCUCAACUCUAAUGAGUUUAUGUUGAGAAAUAGGUAAAUCUUUCUUCUCUAUUUGUUCUAUGAUUUUAUUCUCAACCUCACCCCCAUUGAAAGAAAUGAGUUGUGUUUCAACCUUUUUGUAUUUGACUGAUAAGAAAAUCAAAAAGUGAUUUACAUUUUCUUUUUUUUUCUUUACCUUUUUUACUUUUUCUUGUUUAGUUACUUCCUUGUGAAAUGUUUUCUUCAAUUAAGUUACGUGUUUAGUUUCCAUUUGUGGUUGCUAAGAAAAUGUUGAAUGAUUUUUAUCCAUUUUCUAUAUUUUUCAUGUUUAAAUAUGAUUGGUUAUUGAGAAAAUAGAGGAAUUGUUGUUCUUCAUUUUGUUUGAUUUCCAUUUAUUGUUUUGUUGUUAGGAAGAUAGAAAAAUUAUUACUCUGUGUUUCUUUGUAUUAAUUCAUGUUUGAGAAAAUGAAGGAUUUUUUCUUUCUCUGAUUUCCAUAUUUUCAGUUUCUAUUCUUAAUUUACACAUUUAUUGCUUAACUGUUGAGAAAAUGAAAGAUUUUUUUCUCUUUAAUUUUCAUUCUUGAUUUGCACACAUUGAUUGUUUGAUUGUUGAGAAACGGAGGAAUUGUUCUUUAAUUUUCUACAUUAAUUUUUAUGUUUGUUCUUUGAUUUGUUGAGAAAAUAGAGGAUUUUUUUUCUAUAAUUUCCAAAUUUUUAGUUUUUAUUCUUGAUUUUCACAUUUGUUGUUUGGUUCUUGAGAAAAGGGACAAAUUAUUGUUCUCUAAUUUUCCAGAUUUUCUUGUUGUUUGAUUUGCUAAUAAAAUGGGGGACCUUUUUUGUUUUCUCUUCAAUUUUAAGAUUUCCAAUUUUCACAUUUUCACAUUUUUGUUUUCUAUUUUUAUAGAUUAAUUUCACGUUUUCUUGAUUUGUCCAGAAAAUGGAGGAUUUUUUUUCUACAAUUUCUAGAUUUUUAGUUUCUAUUAUUGAUUUUCAAGUUUGUUGUUUGGUUGUUUAAAAAAUAGAGAAAUUAUUGUUCUUUACUUUUCUAAAUUUUCACAUUUGUUGUUUGAUUCAUUGAGAAAAUGGGGGAUUUUUUUUUUCUCAACUUUCCAUAUUUUCAAUUUCAAUUUCUACGCUUUAGUUAAUGAGAAAAUUGAGGAAUAAUUCUUCUUAUUUUCUAGAUUUAGUUUUGUGUGUGGUUUCUCUUUGAAAAGUGGAUAAAUUUGGAUUUCUUGAUUUUUCUUUUUCCACAUAUGAUUGUAGUUGAUUGAACUUUACUUGAUGUUGUUUUGUAAAAUCUUUAAGUUUAUGUACACUUUAUAAGAAAGUGUAAAACUCGAUAUCUAUAAUUUUUCCUUUCAAAAAUAAAGGAAAAAGGGAAAUAGGAGUUCGAUGAAGUGAGAGGAGAUUCUUUGAAUGUCUUAUUUAUUUCAUGUGAUUUUAUUUAAGAUUUUUGUUUGUGGGUUCAUAUUUUUGUAUUUGUCUUAACUACUCUUAAAUAACUUUUUCUUUUCUGCUAAUUAGAAGAUGAUGAUUUGAAAUACAAGAAAAAGACGGGGAGAAGUUCUCUAGGAGUAAAACCAUUGUCUCAUUAUUCAUGUAUUAUAUCAUGAUAAGACACUAUGUUCUUAAGAUUAUUUUACGAUGAUUUGGUAAAUCUUUUGUUUCUAUAAAUAUAUAUAUAUAUAUAUAUAUAUGAUUUUCAGAAAACAUCAUGAUUAAUAUUAACUUUUGCAUUAUCAAAAUUAUAAAAAAAACUGUUGAAAUUGUUUGAGAUAAAAAAGAGAAAGUUAAAUAGUUUGUGAUAUGCUUAAUUCUCUAAUAUUAUUAUUGUUAUUCAUGUGUUCUUGUGUUUUACACUCUUUGGAAAAUAUACUAAAAUUUAUUUCAAUUUAUUAUAAUUUUAUUUAAUAUCCAUGUUAUUUAGUUAUUAUUUAUCUUAACUUAUUAUAAUUUUAUUUAAGAUCUAUGUUAUUUGUAUUUUAACUCUUGAUAGUUUAAAGGUCAUCAAACAUAUUCUGAAACAAGAUCUCAUUGGGUAGCAUUUGUAACUGAACUAAUACUUAACAAAGGUCCACCUUCAAUAGGUAUAUGAAACUCUUUUCUUACAUUUAUAUUAUAUAUUCUUUGAUUGUUUGAAAAAAUCACAAUAUUGAUAACAUGUUUUCAUAUAACAUGAUUGAUAAAAAAAAAGUUAUAAAAAUUAGUAUAAUAAAAAAUUUAAGCAAAUCGCCCUAUUUGUCUUAUGUAUUUUAAAAUUAUUUUCUACCAUUUUCCUCUCAAUUUCCUUUUCCUCAAAUUUUAUGAGAACCAAACAUAUCCUUACUAUUCCCUUUUUAUGGGUUGGGAAAUUGGGGUUACACUCUUAGUAAAAUGGCUUCUUUGAAGUUGUUUGAAGUGAUUCAAGUUCUCAAUGUUGAUUAAUUUGAACUUAUAAUAAGUUCAUUAGUUGUUUUUAUUGACUCUUGUGAGUUGUGGAAGCCAAGUACUAGUUGUGUAACAUUUUUUGGAAAAUCAAUUAAGACCAAUUUGAGUGUAUAAAUACUAAUAUGUGAUUUACCUGUUAUGUACAUGUAGAGCAAAUUGUCUAUAUUCAGCAAAAUCAUGGGCUAUGAGUGAUAUUUCUCAUUUUUAGAUCAAUCUUUUAUUAUGGAUAUACUUUAUUGGUGUUAAAAUACUUUAACAUGUUUGUUCCUUAAAACGUAUUAUUAACAAUAUCAAUUAAUUAUAUUUUGUUCAUUUUUUAAUUUUUAAAAAUUUCGCUUAUAUUUGUUAAAUUUAAAAUAUAAGUUAUCUACUACAAUUGAAAACUACUCCACAUGAAUAGCAUCACAACAAGUCCUCAACAACAUUGCGAUAAGCCCUAAUAAAUUUUUUUAAUUUAAAAUUAAAUAUUUGAUGAUAAUUAGUCAAUGCAUACAACAUAGAAAAGAAAAGUAAACAUAAAAGGUACAUAUCAUUUUCGUAUUAGUUAUUAUAAUGAUUGAAAGAAAGCUUUGGUGACACCAUGAAAAAUAGUCAUCAAUGAAUUAUAAUGAUAAUAGAAAAUAGACUUUAUUGAUAGAAAAUGACAUGAAUAAAUAGGCAUCAUUAAGAAAAGAUGACUAGAAAAAAUAGUUAUCAAUAACUUUAUAAUGACAUAGAUAAGUAGUCAACAAACGACCCCCUAAAAGAUGACUUUCUUUUUUCUUAACAAUAAUAUGACAAUGUUUCUCUAUCAUCCUCUCUCUUUUUCUUUGUAGUGAAUUUGUAAUAUUAUGUGAUAAUAUAUGAACUUGACAACACAUUAAUAUUUGAAUCUAUUGAAUGACAAAAAAGAACGAUAAUAUUAAGAUAAUUAUUUUUUAUUUAAAAAUAUUGAUAAUUUUAUUUAUAAAUUUAUAUUUGAUUUGAUUUUAAUUAAUUUAUAAUAUAUAUUUAUUUAUAAUUUGUAAAAAAUAUUAUGUAUAAUUUGUGUGUGUAUAUAUAAUUUGAUAUUCAUGUUUAACACAAAUGAAGAUUUGGUUCAAUGGCACAAGUAAUCCAUGUUAUGUUUAAGGUUUGGGUUCGAUCUGCACGCAUGUAUACGAUUGACGUUAUAGAUGUGGUCAUGGCAGAUUCGAGCUCUCUCUCAUCCUAUUUUGCAGAUAUUAUCUUCCUUUUGGGCCUGGUUUGUUUGAUUGGAUAUUUGAAAUGAGUCCAAAAAAGAACUUUGAUGAGUAGGGCGCUCACAGGCUGAAAAAUUAUUUGAUGGGCUCUAGAUAAUGGGCCUUUUAUGGGCCAGAAUACGACCCUGUGGUCCAAGGUACCAGAGACGGUACAUUAUCUCCACUUUUCAGUCAUUGAAUGGAAACAAAGUCAAACUUUGGAGUUAUGUAAUUUGUGCACCAUUAAUCUAAAAGGAAUCAGAUAAUCCUUUAUAGCUCUUGCCAUAAAAGGGCUUGACCAGGGGUGUGGGCCUAAGGCCCAAGCCCAAUAGGAUUCUUCUCAGCAAAACAAAAAAGUUCACCUUGUUCCAUCAUUUGAAGCCAUUAAUCAAUUGAUCUUUCGUCAUUAUCUUUUACAAUAAUUAUAUCAACCAACCUACUAUGACAUGAUUUCAUUGUUUUAUGAAUUGAAAUCAUCGAUUCGUCUAUUUUCUUAGUCAUGAUGGGUCUAUGACCAUGUAAAUGAUUAUUUUGAUUUGUUUCAUUACCAAUAUUAUCUUUUCUUUAUCCUUUAUUAUAAGUUUUAUUUGAAAUUUUUGUUUUAUUUUUUUUUUAUCACUUAUCACAAGCGUGCAAUGAUCUCAUAAGUUGAUGAAUGAUUAUAAAAUUUAAGAUGGUGUUUGUUUUUUUUUUGCUUUUUGCUGAAAGCAAUUUAUUUUCAAAAUUUAAGUUGUUUGUUUUUCUAUUUUUUCAUGACUUAUUAUAAACUUUUUACUAAAUAAAAAAAGCAAAAAUAUGUAGUUUUUCUAAUUAAAAAAAUAACAUAUAUAUUUUUUUUUUACUUUUUAAUACUUAAUAGAAAUAAAAUACUACAAAAACAAACAACCUAAUAUUUAAUACUAUUAAGCAUUAAGGUUCUAUAUAGAAUUAAGUAAAAAAACAAACACCACCUAACUUUUUUAAAGUUUUUAUCUAUAAUAUAAUCAAACAUUAUGAUCAAAAUGUUUUCCAAUCAUACGAGUAUCAUUCAAAUUUUUCCUAAUAAUUUUUAAUAGAUUGACAAUCAUUUACUCUCAAAAAUUGAUCGAAGAUCGAUUAUGAUUUUUUCACAUUUAAAUUGUUGAAUUUCUACUUUAAGAAUUUGAAAGUGAAAUUUCUUACUUUCUCAACUAUAUAAUAUAUAUUUUGUAAUAUCUCUCAUACUCCCUUCGUGUGAUUACACUUCAAAUCUUCUCAAAACAUUUUCAUAAAUUAUUUGAUAAAUGGCAGUAAGAAUAUCAUUUGGUUCCUCGAAGUCUUUCUCUCCAAACUUUAAUAAAUCUUGUAUUUUAGAAGUUGCGUAAACUUUCACUUUUAAUAAAAUUAAAAGUGUGAUUGAUAGUAUUUUUAAUAGAAAUAUAUUUUUAAAAAUCAUUUAUCAAAUUUUUCUUUAAUUUUUAAAUUUUUAUGAGGUAUUAUGAAGGUUGAAGCUAGGGUUGAGAGAUUGGUAUUGGAUAGGGAAAAAAAAAGUAUAGACUCUUUUAGUGAGUGCAAUAAGGUUAAGAAUCCAAAAUGGAUUCCAAACCCACUACUACUAGUAAUUGAUUUGGCUUUUGAAUGUGAGAACCCACCCCACAGCCUAAGUGCAAAGUGUGGAACAUGAGAUUGACUCACAACAUGAGUAGGCAGGGAUUCCACGCCGCAAUCUCUUGGUCAUUAUUUCCCACUACUAGUGCCCGCUAAAGUUCCCAACAACAUAUAAGCAAAUGUGCAAAAGAGCAAAAAGUAUGUUAAUGCCUGAAAUUAAUUUUAGUGGUUCUCAGCCCUUCAUGCCCAUUUAUAUUGCGUCAAAUAUUGGUCAUGUACUGUGACCUAAUUUCUGUGAAGGAUCGAUUGAUGCUUCAAGAGGGGAAGCUAAUGACUCCUAGAAAAUAGGGAUGAAAACCAAGAGGAUGCUUUCAAAGGCCGGUUCUAUCCUAAUAUAAGGGUUGUUUGAUUGUGUUUUUUAAAACAUUUUUAUUCUAAAAGGUUUUUUUUUUUUUUUAAAAAAAAAAGUUGUUUAACAAAAUUUUAGAAAAUGCUUUUAAAAAUUACUUAUGGUGUUUUUCGAGGCAAUACUUUAUACAUCAUUUUCCAAAAAAUACUAUAAGAAACCGUCAAACGCACUCUUGUUAGACUAAUUUGAGAAAAUUAUAAUAGAGUUUGAAACAAAUUUGAAAUUUAAUUUUUAAAUUCAUUAAGGAUUUUAGUGGGAUUUUGAAAAUGAUAUGAUAAUUUUAAAAAAUAUUUAUUUUUUGAAACUAUUUCUAAAUUUACAACACAAAAUUCAAUAGAAUUUUUUUUUAAUAGAUAAUUUGAGAUGAAUUUUAAGAACUCCUUUUUUGUGUGUUCUUUUCUAUGGAUAUUUAAAAACUUGCUUUUUAUAAUAAUACAUAGUUUUUUCAAUUAAAGAUUAUGAUUUAGUAAAUAUAUUAGGUAAAUGAGGCGAUUUUAUUAUAAUAUGAUUUAUACUAUAUUUUAUAAAUUGUUUUGAAGAUUUGACAUUAAUCAUUUACUUGAAUUUGAAAGAAUAUCAACGGAGGUUAAGGUGGUAUUUGUUUUUUUACUAAAAGAAAAAAUUAAAAAUAUUUAGUUUUUUCUAUUCAACUAAAAAUAACAUAUCGAUAAUAUUAAUAUAAUCUUAAAGCCCGUAUGAUUGUGUUAAAAAUGAUAAAAACGUUUUUAAAAAUCACCUAAAAUCAAGGUGAGUCGGACCGUGUUACAAAUUUAGAUCCAUAGGGUAAACAAGGAGAAUUUAAACAAAAGGUCAGCUCCACUUAUGACAAAGAGGCAUGGAGACAAGCCGAUGCCAACCACUAUAAAAACACUAAUCACUGUCUUGUAAAAUCACAACCUUCUCCUCUCAACAAUCCCACCUGAUCGUAUGGCAAUCCUCGCCUCCUCAUCUCUCAAUCGUCUAAUCCGAAUUCUGCUACUCCACCUACCAUGGUUCCUCUGUGUAAUCUGCCAGAGAACAAGACAUGGAACCCCACCACCAUCAUUCGUAUUUCCUCCUCCACCACCGCCUCCUUCGCCACCGCCUCCUUCACCACCGCCACCUUCACCAUUACCUUCAGAACCACCAGUAGUACCACCAGUAGCACCACCAGUAAUCUUCCCGGACCUGCGCCUCGCCACCGUUUUCCCCGUGAUCCAAAAGUUCAAGGCCAGCAUCACCUCCGACCCUCUUGGAAUCACCUCUACAUGGGUCGGUGGAGACAUCUGCAAAUACAAGGGCUUCUACUGCGACAACCCACCAGAUAACUCCACCUCCCUGGCACUUGCCGGCAUCGAUUUCAAUGGCUUCCAGCUGGCUGCACCUAGCCUGGAUGGCUUCAUUGAUGCCCUUCCUGAUCUAGCAAUCUUCCAUGCAAACACCAACUUCUUCAGCGGCAACAUCACCCCCAAAAUCGCCAAGCUGCCAUACUUCUACGAGCUGGACCUCAGUAACAACAAGUUCUCCGGCGAGUUCCCUCCGACGGUGCUCGCCAUCCCCGGCUUAUCCUUCUUGGACAUUCGUUAUAACUCGUUUUCCGGGUCUGUCCCACCUCAGGUUUUCGUACAGAAUCUCGAUGUCCUCUUCAUCAACAACAAUAACUUCAACCAGAAAAUCCCUGAUGACUUCGGAAACACUCCGGCAAGGUACAUAACGUUCGCAAACAACAAGUUCACCGGUCUGAUACCGCGCAGCAUCGGAAACUCUUCAUCGACAUUGACUGAAAUCCUUUUUCUCAAUAACUUCUUAUUUGGGUGUCUUCCAAUUGAAAUAGGCUCUCUGAAAGAGCUGACAGUUUUCGACGUGGGCCAUAACUUACUGACGGGCCUUUUGCCGUGCUCGCUGGGGUGUUUACAUAACGCGGAGCAGCUCAACUUCGCCGGAAACUUUUUCUACGGUAGAGUGCCUGAAGAGUUGUGUGCAUUGAAAAACCUUCAGAAUUUGACUUUGUCGGAUAAUUAUUUUACGAAAAUAGGGCCAAACUGCAGAGAUCUGAUACCAACUGGGAAAAUUGAUCUGAGGAACAAUUGCAUUCGUAAUCUUCCUGAUCAGAGACCAAGAUCUGAUUGUCUGGCCUUCUUUUUGAAACCCAAGUUUAUUUGCCCGAAUAUGGUCUUGUAUGAAAAUAAUACUUGUGAUGAUGGUCAAUUGCAAUCAACUCAUAUGAGGUCCAGGAAACCGAAUAUUCCAAAGGUUACUUACUCUGCGCUUGUGAAGCAUCGUUAGUGAUUAUUUCACACCACAGUAUAUGGAGAUAUGAAAGGGAAGAAGUCUGCAAGCAGUGCAGAGUUCAUAUAUGAUUUCUGAUGUUUAAUGCAUAAGUUUCAACUCUCAUACAAUUACAUUGUACUGGUUCUACACUGAAGUUCAAGUUCAUUUCCAAAUGAGAAAAGCCAUUAUUUUUCUAUUUUUCUUAUUGUUUGUUUUUUAUUUUUGGAUUAAAUACCUUUCAACCUUAGGUUUGUUUUAUACUUUCUCUCAAUACAUUCAAAACUCAUCAAUUUAUCCUCCAUAACUAAUUAAACAUCAACAUUUUAUCCCGAAUUACUAACUUAAAAUAAAAUUAUAAAAAAGAUCGUAUAUUUUCACACUCUAGUUCCAACAUUGGUUUGAACUCAGAUAAAACAAAUUUUAAAAUAAAAUUUUUUAAAUACAUUUAAAAUGUAAUAACUAUCAAUUUUGAGUUUUUAUUUUAAAGUACGACUAUUUAUAAUUUUUUUCAUUUUAAUCUUCAAACUUAGAUAAUAGAUUUUUUUUUAUUACAUUUUAAUUUUGUUUAUUCAACUUUUUAAUAAGUUUUGGGGGACAAAUAUUGCUUUUUAAUCAAUAUGAGGAGUAAAAUGUUGACUUUUGGAGGUGAAGGAGCAAAAUGUAAAAUACCUAUUCAACCCUUUAUUUUUUCUUUUAUGGACCUAACAAGUUUCAACCUCGAGGAGUUACAAGGGAUUAAAAUAUUGGGAUUUGGAUAUAAAAACAAAAACAAAAUUCUUUCAAAAGUACCCUGAAAAAGACAAAAAAAAAGAAAAAAAAAGUAUGCUAUUAUUCCACCUUCAAUCCAAAAGAUAAUGAAAGAUAAGCUUAAGAUUUGAUCAGCUAAACCUAACUAUGAUUGGAGAGUAUAAGUGUAGUGUCAAGGAUAUGAAAAAGAAAUGUAAGUAUUGACCAAUAUAAAUUUCAUGGAAGUUAGUAUUCUUCAAGGUAGAUAAAAUUUGGUAUUAUUUUAUAAUUAGUGAAUUGUUUUAUAUUAUAAAAACAUAUGAUCUCGGGGGUGUAAUGAGGUGAGCCCUAAUAAAAGGGUUUCGAUCUCGCAAAAAUAUAUAAACACUAUUAGUUAUAUUUGAUGGUCAUAUUCUUGAGAAUACAAAUCAAACGUCAUGUUCUCAAGAACAUAUUUACAUAAACUCAAAAGGUAUUUUUCAUUAUUUGCUCUGAUCAUAAGAUGACAUGUGAAUGCCUAAUAAAUAUAAAUAUUAAAUAGCAUUUAAAAUUAAAAAAAAAAAAAGACAGUUGAAAAUUAGUGUACUUACAUCUACUAAAGGUUUUGAUUGAGAUUUUAUAGGUGCUCUUCCAGCCAUAUAUUGUGUCCCAUUAUGAUUUAUGGUUUAUUCUUUAUUUAUUUAAUACAUUUGUUGAUACCAUUUGGUUAAUUCAAUUACUUGGUCAAUAAUUAAAAUUUGAGAAAAUUAUCUUGGAGGUAUAUAUUCACCCCCUUCUAGAUUUUACUAGGAAUCAAGAACAAAGAAUUCACAAUGCUUUAUAUUUAAUCUUUUUUAUCUUUUAUAAAAAUGAUGAAUAAUCCUAACAUAUCCUAAGAAAAAUGAUUGAAUUGCACCUCCCAUUUAACUAUAACAAAUGGUAACAUGAGUUAAGGGUUAAUAAUGAAAUAAGUGAUUAGUUUUAUAAUUUAAAGUUUUCAAAUUUUUUGUUAAGUUAUGUUUGGUUUCUGAAAAAUAUUAGGGAAAGAAAAAAAUAUUAAAAAAAAUAUUUUAUGACUGUUUUAUGAAAAAUAUAUAAAAAAACAAAUAUAAUUAAAAUUAAUUAAAAUUUUGUGUAUUUUUAAAUUAUUUAAUCUUUAUAUAAUUAAAUUAAAAUAAGUAAAAUAUGUUUGAAACAGCAAAUAAAAAUAACUUAUUAACUUUAAUUUUUUUUCCUUCUCUUUUGCUUUUAUUCUAUUUUUUUUUUUCUAUUUUAUGUCCCUUGUAAUUUUUUUUUUUUUCAGAUUUUCUAGGAAACAAACAUAACAUUAGUUAAUUUGUUGGGAAUUCAUCGAAGGAUCCACAUUUUCUUGUUUUCUCCUUCAAGCAUUACCUCAAGUCUUAAAUGCCAUAUCAUUUUUAUGAGUUAAAAAUAUAUUAUGGAUCACUUACAACAUAAUUACGGAGGUGGGCAUUAUGGUUUAGGCAAUUUACCACUUUAAAAUAUAAAAAAAUUUUAAAAAAUAUUGGUAAAUACCUUGAUUAUGAAAAACUUUAUUUUGAAGAAUGGAAGCACUCAUGUAACACAUUUUUUGUUUAAUUAGUGUAGGAUAAUGUGAAACUCAUCAUGUCAUUACUUAAAGUUUUGACUUUAAAAAUGAGAAGUGGUUGAAAUGGUAGUUAAUGAAACUUGGUGGAGAAAUCACUUGGAUUGAAGAAGGUGGAGAUGGGCAUUGGGUGAGUGUGGACACUAGAUUCCCUAUUGAUUUUCCCCAAGUUGAUGGGUGCCAAAAAGAAAUGAAUCAUAUAAGGUGGAAGCUAACUCAAGACGCACACCCAUUAUCUCCAUCCGGCCUGCCCUCCCUCCAACCCAUGGCCUGUUGCUUUUUCCAAGGGACAAAUGUCUGUGAAUUGGUCGUCACUCUAAGGUCAUGAAUGCCCAGUAAUUCUUCUUCUUUUUCUUCUUCUUUUUUAUUUGGCUCAAAUAAUUUGAGUAGCACAUUUUUAUUGGGUAAGUUUGUCACGUGAUAGCCUGAUAGGUGAUAGUUUAAAUUUUAUUUUUAUUUUUUUAUUAUAUAAUACAUUAUUUAAAAUGCUAUCAAAAAAAAAAUAUAUUUUUUAAUAUACCAAAGUGAUUUCUUUAAAAACGUUUUAAGUAUUACAAAUAAAGUGUUUUAAUUAAAAUCAUUUCCAAAGAAUCUUUGUUAUUGUACGAAUAUAUAAAUAAAAAAAAAGUACAUUUUAUAAUUUUUUUAAUAAUGUGUUAUAUAAUAAUAAUAAUAAUAGAAGGCAAAACACCUUAAAAAUUACUUCUAAUAAUUCUCCAAAUGUUUAAAUUUUUGUGAAAUACCUCAUUUUUAUAAAAAGAAUACUGUUGUCAAAUGAAUUAUUAGUUUUAGUAGACGUUUGAUAAAUUAAUUUAAUAAUUUAAAGUAACUUAAUAACUUAAUUUAAGUUAUGAAGUAUGUUUGGUAUGAUGUUUGUCUUUUUACCUUUUUACUGAAAGUAAUUUGUUUUCAAAUUUUAAGUUAUUUGUUUUUCUAUUUUUUCACGAUUUAUUAUAAUUUUUUUACUAAAUAUAAAAAUUUAAAAUAUUUGACUUUUCUAAAUGAAAAAAAUAACAUAUUGGUUUUUCUUUAGUUUUUAAUAUUUAAUAGAAAUAAAAUAUUAUAAAAAUAAACAAACUAAUAUUUAAAGUUAUUAAACAUUAUUUAGUUUUAAGUUUUAUUUAAAAUUAAGCAAAAAAUAAACACCAUCUAAUAAUAUAACUUAAAAUAAAAAACAACUUUAAGUAAUAAAUGAAAAUAGUCAAUUUAUUAUCAAGUUAACAUCUUUAUUUUAUUUUUUUUAUUUUUAUUUAUCCUAAUUACUUCUAUAAAUUUCUUUGUUAUUUUAUGACUUUCACAGUUGCUUGACCUCAUUUGUUAUAAUUAUAAUUUUUGAAUCAAUUUAAUGAUUUCGAAUAAAUUUUAAGUUAAUUUUAUCAAAUAAUUUUAAUACUUAAAGUAAAAUUAAGUAUUAAGUUUUAUCAAGCAUCCUCUACUUAGAUAACUUAUUAAAUUAUUUUUUAAUGCAAUGAAUAUGAAUAUAAUAAAUAAAUAUUAAUUCGUAACUUUUAAAUGAAGAAGUAAUAAAUUACUUUAUAUCUUUGUAGAACAUUUUUAUUAUGAAAAUUAAUACUAUCUUUUUGUUUUUAAAAAUAAAAAACAAGGAGGGUAUCCAAAUCACAACUAUCACAUCCAACAUUUGAGCUCGACCCAGGUUCGAAAAAUUCUGAAAAUCAGGCCAACAUUGGCUUGCACAUUCAAGCUGGGGCUAGAUCCGAUUCUUGGGACAUGUUUGGACCACAAAUGCAGGUUGAAGCGUACCUGAAUAAAGAAGGCCCUCGGGACCAUAAUUUUUUUAAAAAAAGAAUAAAAAUAAAAAUAAAAAGAGAUGAUGACGCUUAAUUUAUUGUAGUUAGAGCUCCGGGUCUUCGACCUUAAUUCAAGGCUGCGAGAAAACGAACCUCACAUGGCCUACUAUGGAAAUCUGCUUGUUGUGCGUUUGGUACAGGGUCACCAUGUUGUUGCCUCCCACAGCCCAUUGGUCCACAAAAUUACUAACGUCACGUGUCCCCGUCAGAGCCAAGCCUCUCCCACUCGGGGCAUCACGCGCUGCUACUGUUAACUGUUAAGAACCCCUCCCAAUGUCACGACUUUAAAAAAGGUCAUUAAAGUAUACAUCUCUCUCUCUCUCUCUCUCUCUCUCUCUCUCUCUCUCUCUCUCUCUCUCUCUCUCUCUCUCUCUUUUAAAACAAAUUUCAUAUGAGGUUGGGUGAUCAUAUCAUUUUAUAACGAUUUAUCCCAUUUAAAGAAUAAAUAUUUUGUGAAAAAAGAAUGAAAUAAUCCCUAAUCGAAAAUUUAAUAUAUCUCAUGUUUUUUUAAUGGAAAAGUAAUCUAUUUUUAACAUAAAAAUAUUUUUUCUAUUUCAAGUUUUUAGGUAUAACUUUUAAAAGAAAUUGUUAUUUUUAUAAGAAUAUAACGAAGGUAUUUUUGUUCAAAUAAUGUCAAAAAAUAAUGAAAAAUUAAAUUUUAAGAAGCCCUUUUAAUCAAAUAAUCCUUUAAAGAAAUUCUCACUAUUUUGAAACAUAUCUAUAAAAUUUUAAAAAAAUUCAUACAUUAAAAUUUUUAGGAAUUAGAUAUACGUCACCUAAGUAUUCCUGAAAUGACACAAUUCAAUUCGGCACUAUGCCAAGAAGGGAGGAACCUUUUCAAUACCACCCAUCAAGAUGUAUCCUCUUUAUGCCAUCACCUCCUGAUCGUCGGUAAGACCAUAUUGACAAGAUCAUGUUUACCCAUUUGAUAUUUAGCUUAAAAAAACCCAUAAACAACUUGUGAUCAUACUAAAAAAUUCACAUCAUUGUGUAUAAGACAUACACAUCUAUUGCAACGACCUAUAAAAAAAACCAGAAGAACAAUAGAGAAAACGCUUCCAUUAAUUAUACGGCCAUUGAGAUUAAACUAGACUCAUAAUUUUUAUUUUUUUAUCCACGAAACAAAUAUACUAAUUCUUUCAUAUAUGCUUCACACCACUUGUUACCUUUAAUGGCAUUACGAAAAUCCUGACAACUAACCAUACUCUUUUGGGCUGUAUUGUUCGGUCACAUUGAUGUACCUGGACAAUUUUGUUGACCGUGACCUUGAUUUUGGUGUAGCAUGGUUAUCAUCUCCUAUUUUGGACAUUACUGUUUGAUUUCUCCUAGUAAGAUUUUUUUAUAAGGCCUCCGAGAAAGUCUUUAAUCUAUAAGGAUAAAUACUCCUUUUAUUAAAAAAAAAUGAACAAUAAUGGACGGUGUGACCGUGUGAGGCUUUGACAGCUCCCGGUUGGUUGGAGUAAGUAAUGUACAAUUUCUACUAGGAGUGAAAGGUUACAGGUGAACGACGUCGUUUUAGUCCGUGUACAAUAGUUUCUUAAUCGUGUAUCCCUCACCGACAACUCCCCUGCCGUGAGGUACGCUUUUUGUCACGUGAUUCACGUGAUCAUAUUCAAAUUCGGGUUUUUCACUAGUUUCCGAUCCCACCUUCCUUGUUGUAACGCGCCCCCAACUACCAAUCACCACACGCGUUGCCUUUAAUGCAGGCCUUGGUAGGCGUCAAUGGUGGCCCUCGGCCGUUUCGGAGAUCCCACAUUGUGCUAUCGGUCCACUGCGACGGCACCCCACCGACACCCAUUUUCUUCACCCUUCUGUUUGGUGACUGAGAAUUUUGAUAAAAAGGAAGGAAAUUUGUAUUCUGGGAAUCAGUUAUGGUUAUUUGGUUUCAACACUCGUGGGUGGAAUGCUGACUUUUCUCACCAGCCAAACAGGCAUAAAACUGGGAACUUUGAGAAUUCAAAACUUGGUAAACUCAAAUCUAUGAGAUUGAACAUUAUAUUUAAAAAAACAAAAAGAAAAUAUGUAAAUAUUACAAAUAAUCACAAAAGGUGAAUUUCACCCAAUCAUCGGUUUAUGAUGAUGAAGAUGAUGGUGACGAUGAUUUUGUGGGGUUUCUACAGAAGCGAAAGCUAUUGGGUUUCAUGGUUUCCACUACAAAAUGCCCCAGCAAAUCCGUGGUCUCGACCAAGUUCUCUUUACACAGAAACUCAUUGCUGCAAAUCCUCUCCACAUCCCUAUUCAUGUCGUGUACAAACACAUGGGUCUUGGCAGAGCCGCCCUUCUUGCUUCUCGCUAGAACUCCGGCAGUAAAUAUUGCCGACAUCCUCCCCGGCGCCGCUGGAAAGUACCCACGAGGGCCGUCCACGAGGAUCACAUCCCAAUCUACUUGGUAGAGAUGAUUCGGGAGGUCGUUGAUGCCGAGUUUGCAGUCGGAGAAGAGGAGGUUCUGCACAGGUCUGCACUCGUUCCGGAGCUGCUCCUUCGCCGACCGAAUCAGUUCCGACAUUUCGCUGACCUUGGUUGUGUACUGCACAUCGUACGCCUCUAUAUCUGGGUGUUUCUCUUCGAACUUGGCGAUGUAGAACUCGCUCUCAUCAAGGAAGAUGGUGCGGCCGUUGCUGUUCAAAGCUUUCCAGAGCAGGGUCUCGUGGGUCAGCCCGAAUAUCAGGAAGUUGCACGGCGAUGAGCAGCGCCGGAGCACGCCGGCGAUGGAGGCCAUCUCAGCGGCGGUCAUGUGGCCGGUGAUGUUCGACGCGGCGGCAUAGUGGAGGAGCGCUUCCAUGGCGGAGUGGGGUAGAGGGAAAUGGGCAGACGCCGCGGAGGCGGCUGUAGUGGGGGUGGGCACGGCGGUGUUGAUGAGAGUGAGAACGAAAGCCAACGUGAAGAAGCAGACAAAAAAGAGAAGCCAUAGACGAUGUGAAGCGCCUCCCUGCUUGUGAAUCGAAGGGUGGAGGACUAUUAGCUUUGUGUUGCCAUUACUCUUCAUUUUGACCUUUUUCAGAGAGAAAUGGGAGCGGCGAAGCGACCGAGGACAGUGGCUCAGUCCUAUCUCCUAUCCCACUCAGAAUUUUCCCGGAAUUCUCUCAGUUUCUUUCGAAUUUCUCACCAAUCUCAAGGUGGGCGAUUAGAUGCCCAUCAGUGUAUAAAAGAUGGAGGCGGUGCAGAUGGGCCCAAUUAGAUUGGGGUCUUAGGAGGUGGUGGCGCCCAACCCAUAAAGAAAGACCCACUCCCCUGUACGACGUCGCUUCAUCCAGAGUCUCUGUUUUUAGUUUUUAGUAUUUACCCUCCUACGAUGAAUUCCAGUAAAAUACAAAAGAAAAAGAAAAUGCCAUCCAAAAUUUCGAAGAAUUUUCUUUUCCAGAAAAAAAAAAAAAAGAAACGCAAACCAUGCCUUUAAUCAGGCAUGCGGGCGCGGGUACUCGACAGGAGUCAACAAGAGAGAGUUAAAUUCAACGAAACGGAAAAUCAUUUUCCAAAUAUACACUUUUUAGAAUAUAUUAUAAUAAUUUUUAUUUCGUCAUCAAUUUACAACUCAUCACAUAGUUAGCUCAAAUUUCGUUGUCUUCCGAUUUGGUAUAAAAGUCAAUUAAUAUAUUUUUUGAUUCACUACAUCAGGGAAAAUUAAAACGACAUGAUAACGAUAGCCAAUAAAUAAUUAAAUCUAAUUAGAUUUUAAAUUAUUACAAAUAAAAUGGUACCACGCCAACUACUGUAAAUGUUUUUUAACAAUUUAUUUUUACUUAAUGGUAAUUAUUUAACAUCUAAUUAAUACAAUCUUAAAUAACAAACCACCCUUUAUGACUUUACCCGGUCAAAUGCGUGUGUUGACAUAUGGUUCAAUUUUAGUAAUAGGGUAAAUGAUUUGGCCUAAAAAUAUAUUUUUCAAAUUUAUUUUAAUAAAAUUAGAAAAAUAUAUGGUAAUAAAAAGUGUGAGACAAGUAGACAAGUAGACAACUUUAUGUGUCAGGGUAUGGAGUGAUUAAUUUUCAACCAUACAAUAGACUAAAUUGAUUAAUUUGUGAUUUCAGAGAAAAAGGGAGAGCCAUGGAAAAAUUCAACUGUUGUAUGGAUUGGACGGUUCUGUUCACUUUGGAAAAAAAGGCAGUUUGAUUGAAGAGUCAAUGUCUGGGUUAGUUGGGCAGAAUUGUCAAUCAGGUUUCUACUCACCAUGGCUAAUGCUCAAGAAGAGAAGCAGAAAGUACAUGGAAUUUCAUUCAUGGGAUUGACGGUCCAAAAAUUUGAAAAUGUUGGAGGGAAUUGGUGCACCUAAGUUGGUUAGGGGUCAUUUCCAAGAUAUUAUAAACACUAUCCUCCCCGCAGUUUAAGGCUUUUUUAAUUUCUUUUGGGUAUUGGUUGGCGAUGUGUUUGUCAACCAUUGAGAAAGAAACCUCAAAUCCUCCAUUUUUUUUUUUUUAAAUAUAUCCAUGUGAUGGUAAUAGGAAAAGUUUUUUUAAAUAUUUGUCUUACCCUUAAUAUGAUAAAUUUGAAAUUUAAAUAAAUAAAUUAGGAGUAAGGUGGUGUUUUUUUUUUUUUUGGUUUUUUUUAUUAAAAACAAUUUGUUUUUAGAAUUUAGAUGGUUUGUUUUUCUAUUUUUUCAUGAUUUAUCAUAAACUUUUUACUAAAUAGAAAAAACUAGUUUUUUUUAAAUAAAUAAAAAUAACAUAUUGGUUUUUCUUUGCUUUUUAAUACUUAAUAGAAAUAAAAUACCAAAAAAACAAACAACCUAAAAUUUAACACUAUUAAGAAUUAAUAUUCUAUUUAGAAUUAAGUAAAAAAACAAACACCACCUUAAUUUGAAACUUUUUUUAAAACUCAAAACGAGUUUUGGGUGGAUUCGGAUAGUGUUUUGUCUUGCAUGACCUACUUUGAUUAUAUAUAAAAUUAAAUUAAAGAAAUUAAUUCAAUUUAAUUUUUAUUUUUCUAUUUUUAAUAUAUAAUAAUAAUAAUAAUAAAAAUACUUUUUAAUAAAAAAAAGUUAUAAAAAAUUAUAACAUUUUAAUUAUUUAUAAAAUAUAUUUAUUUUAAUUUAAUUAAAAAAAAUCAAAAAAUUAAAAAUUUUCAAAAAAGAAACAAAAAAAAAGUUAAAUAAGACUGGAUAGGACUAGUACGAUAAAUUCACGUGCCCACCUGUCCAAUUAAAUUUUUAAAUGGAAUUAGGAUAAAAAUUAUUUUAAAUAAAUUGAAUGGAGUUGAGAUAAAUCAAACUUUCUUGAUCUUAUCUUGUUGUCAUCCUAAAGAAGUCUUAGUAGAGUUAACUCGGAGCAUAAAUAUAAAUAAAUGUGACAUCCAACACACACACACAAAAAAGAGUAAUUUAAUCUCACUUUUAGACAAGAUAAUCAUGGCUUCUACCAAAUGUUAUAUCAUGAGUUUUUGUCAUAAUCCUUUAUCUUAACAGUUAACACAAAAAGCAUCAUGUCAUGUCAUACGGACAUCAUAAGGGCAUGGGCCUUAAAAGACAAAAGAAAUCCAAAAAACACACUGUUGUUGACAGUAUUUUAAGCCUUUGAACUCACUUCCACAAGAAGGGUACCUUUUUUUGGGACAGGGAAUAAAACCUAAGUGAUUAGUUCAAUUUAGAUCAUAUCGCUGAGGCAAUAUUUUAAGAAUUUGGUCCAACACACUUCCAUAACAAGGGCAUCUAGUUCGGACAGUGAACAAGACCUAAGCGCUUGGCUCAAUUUAAAAUCAAAGAUGGUAGGGUAAAGUGGCUUCAAGUGGAGAAUAUGCUUUGGCAAAAGAUAAUUUUACCAGCCCUUGCCUUUCUCUCCUUUUUCCAAACCCCAUGUGAUUUUAAUUAUUCUUAAAGCCUUAAAAGCUACCCAUUAUGCUUUAAGUCGAUGUUGGAGAGAUUAUGCCAAUGAUAUCUCUAGCUAGUUUAUUGGUGCUUAAAUAAAAUGCCUUCUUUCGAGUAUAACAUUCCAUCAGUGAUAUAUUUAAUACAUGUCAUGUCAACUACAUACACUUGUUCCAUUUCCCGUUGGUAUCUAAGCAAAGCUAGUUUGUUGAUUCAUUAAUGGUUGUGUAUGUGUUCAGUGACCCAACUAAGAUUCUUCAUCUCUAGAUUCUUAACUAAACUGAUAGGAACUUGGCAACAACCCCCACUUUUCAAACCCUGAUUAUUUCAAAUAUAGAUAGAGAUAAGUGUGUCGGAUGAUGCUAAUCAUGGAUUUUGUCAUUUGGGAUAUGUCUUAAACUCUUUGUUUCUCGGUAUAUAUGUCACGAUAUUUCGUAUUUUUGGACUUUAAUAUGAGUACUUUUAGUGUUGAAGCCAAGGAAGCUUCAUAGAAGUUUUAAUGUUGGACUUUAACUAUUCUAUAGUUGGGGAAAAGGAAAAAGUCUCUCUCAUUCAAUAAACAAAGCCAUUGUAAAGCUGUGACAUGUGAAGAUCGUUUGGUUCAUGAGAAAAUAGACAUACAAAAAGGUCUAGAAGUACCCUUCUUCCUUGGCUGACAUCAAAUGUUGAACUUGUUUCAUUUUCACCAGUAAAUAACGAAGGGAUGUUUGGAUCGAUCCGAUUGGCACUGGCUUGACCAGUGUGUCAUUUAAAAAUUUUGAACUUUUUGUCAAGUUGAUGUGGGAGAGAGAACUCGAAAUGGGACAAGACCAGGUGGGCCUAGGAUAGAUGAGCUCAAACCCAAUUUGGAAAUUGUUUUUGUUCAUACCUGGGUCCAAUCAAAAUGCUACUAUGCACAGGCUAAAACUCAGCCCAUCUGGGUUUAGUGCUGGGUCUGGCUCUGCUGAACUUGAAGAGAAAUUGGAUUACAAGUUAUUGGACUUCCCGUCAUUUUCACCCUCUACCUUUCUUUCCUCUAGUUCAAUAGCUUGCUUCCAAGUAGCCCAUCACAAUUACUAUAGAGUUGUUUUCUUAUCGAAGUUCAUGACUUCAUGCCGACUUUCACUCUCUUUACAUGUGAGGGCAUAUAGGGAGAUGGUACUUUUCUUUUGUGAAUUUGUUUUGAGCUUAGUUGGAAGGGACAAAAACGGAUCAUCCCAAAGUGCUACCCUCCGCCCAACCUCAAAGCCAUCUCGGGUUGAAAGGUAGAACUAUUCACUUAACCUGAUUAAAAUACCUAAUCUCUUACAAACAUCAUGAGUUUGCCCUUGGUAAAGUUUAGGAAAACCCCUGUAAAAAGCUGAUAACUUUUGAAAAGUUUCUGCAUUUAGAUGACACAAGACCCAUGAGGCAAGAAGCCUAUAUAAAAGGCCUUCAAAUCUCCUUUAAGUAACAUAGGCUCCACCCCCUCUAUACUUUAAAUAGCUUGUAUUAUCUACCAAAGAGGAUCUCAGCAUCUUAAUUGGCACCAUCUAUAGGAAUUCUAAUAGAAAAGCCAUGAACCAGGCAGUAGAAUUGUUGGAAGGGGAUGUAGCAGAUGCAGAAAAGGUAGUCAUUCAGAACUAGCUAUCUCAGUUACGACAUUAGUUAGGACGCUAGCAGUUGGGGCACUAACAACAGAUGGAUCACACAAUAGCCCAGUAAACCACACUUCACAACCAGUUAUACCAACCUACAGUCCAAACGGUACAAACAUUAGAACAUAGUGUAAUAACUAAUAAGACAAGCAAACCACCUCGUACAAUAGUCGUGGCAAAACCACUAGAAUCCAACUUUGCGAGGAACAAGACUGAAAUGAAAGUACAAAGAAUUAGCAACCGAGAUUCAAAGGAUGAAGCUACAAGUACGAACCACAAAUGAAACAUUGAACGUAUGGAAUGACCUCAAGUUACCCUCCUCAAGUUGCCCUUUAGUUGCGACCUUAUGGAGGAGGAGUUGUUAUCGUAUUAUGUGACCUCGAAAUUCACUUUGUAUGAUCGAAUUGGUGACCCCAUUGAGCACUUGUACCAUUUCUGACAGGUGACGACUCUUAACUAAGGAGGGGCUUCUUUAUCAAGUAUCUUCAACCAGCCUCCAAGGCCCUACUAGUAUGGUUCUAUUAGCUAUCGUCCCAGUCAAUUCAAAGCUUUGCCCAAUUGUGCGACCUGUUUAUAGAGUAGUACACAUGUAACAUGCGACCUUGAAGAAACGUUGACCACCUCUCUAACACAAAGCAAGCUUUUGCAAAGCCUUUCCAAAAGUCUGUCCAUCAAUUCAUCGCUGAAAUGAUGUAAAUAGAAAAUAAUGAGCAUGGAACCGCCAUCGUUGCCUUCAAGGAAGCUCUACAACGCGAGAUCCCCUUACAAAGUUCACUAGCAAAAAGUGGCUUGACAAUGAUGGAAGAACUAUUAAUUAAAGCCAACAGAUACACUAACAUGGUGAAAUAAGACCCAUAAUGGUAGAAGAGGGAGGUGAAAUGGUUGCAAGCUGAAUGCAUGACCUCCCUUAGUGAAAGGAUUGAUGUCACGGACUUAGUUUUUUACUAAGCUCGUGUGGCACUUAGACAAGCUAAGCCCUUGAUCUUGCUAAAUCAGCCUUACUCCUGAUACUUAACUUGGUAGAUUAAGAUGCUCAUGACUUGAAAGUUUUAGAAGGUGUAGUAGACAAUUCUCAAAGAAUGUAAGCUUUUACAAGUGCUUUUGAACUCACUUGCUUGGUUAGGAAGUGAUUUGGGUGGUUUUUGGGAGGUUUUGGGUGGUGUCUUGACCAAAUGAGGUCUUCACCUAUUUAUAGGCACCAAUGGAACUCUUUGAAACCUUGGAGGAUUUCUUACAACUCAAGAAUAAUCUAAAACAUUCUACACAAUUCUAUGUACAAGCUUAGGUACAAGAAUAUACAAGAGAUCCCUAAAAUUCUCUAGAAAGUAUUGGACUCCUCUCAUGCCUUCCACCAUAAUGUAGAGAUGUGUGGACAUCUCUAGGCAUUUCUAGAACUUUCCAUACUCUUCCCGCUAAUGGCUUAGUGUAGAUGACAUUGAGUUCACAGAAUCAUUGUACAAGAUGCUGGAAGAAGUAAAAUAGCACCCCUCAUUUCGAUGGCCUUCGCCCCCGAACCAUCCAAUAGGUCAAUAUGACAAAACAAAAUAUUGUCACUAUCACCAUAUGCAUGGUCACCUAACCAACAACCACAAGGCUCUUGGUCAUUACCUAGAGAACUUGGUAUGACAAGGUAAUUUAUAGCAGUACACCAAAAGGACAACAAGUCAGCUUACUGCAACCAGAAAAGACCUGUCAAAGGAGUUAAAAACUGAAGCCCCCGCAACCUCAGUUAUUCAUGUUAUCAUCGCAUGAUCUAAAAGUAAAAUAGAAGAGGAGAUCAAGUGUCAGAGCCAAGAUCAGGUCCUAUCUUAGAACCAACAAAUUUAAAAGACCACUUAGGAGACCAUAUUCAAGUAAUCCAAAAGUUACUAACAAAUUGAUUGACAAUCAAAUUCUCGCUGCAUAACUUGACCCAUGUCAACACACCCCACCAUGAUCCCUUAGUGAUUAAUCCCUAGAUUGGUUGGUAACCUGGAAUACUUCAUUCCUUAGCCUUAAAUCAUAUAGGGUGCAUGUAAAACUAUCUUAAAAUCUCUAGAUCUAAGCACAAUGAAAAGAUGACAUUCAAAUACCAUUAUAGAAUAUAAAUCUAUAAAUUUUUUGUUGUAUUUGUGAAUUGGUUGGUCUCAAAUUGAAUCAAAUCCGAAGAAAAUGUCAUGGAUGUUGUAGAUCUUGUCUAUCCAAGGAUUUUCCACUUGAUUUGUCAAAGUAAUUUGAUCAAAUAGAUUGUCUAAUUGAAUUUUAAGGAAUUUUCUUUUCAAAUUGUCUUGAUGACUACUACGAUACAAACUAAGUAGAUUCAUUAAAUUCUUAAAGUUAGAUUAAAUGAGAUUGAAUAGUUAUAUGGUAUGAGUCAUUAUAAAAUAAUUUAUAACGAAUUGAGUUUAAUUGUGAAUAAUUAAUAAAUGAAAUUAGAAUUUCUAAUUUGAAAUUUUAAUGGAUCUAGAUUUAAAGUUAAAUCAAAUAUCGAUUUAAGUGACAUUUUAAGAUCUUCAAUCUAACUUGAUGGAAAGUAGAUUUUAAUGACCUUUUUACCAUAGAAACUGAUUUCUUGUGAACUUAGAUUCAUAAAACCUUUUCAUUAAUAUAUUUUUCUCUAAUUUUGACGAAUUUUACCUUUUUACUUUCAAUCAAAUUUUCUUAUUUUUCAUCACCUCAUUUUUUUUUAUCAUCAUUAUCUUAAUUCUCCAUAUUUUCCUUCUUGAUUGUCAAACACAUUCAUCAUUCUAGUGGACGAUACUUAAAAUCGUUAUACUAAUGUAACUUUUGUUAUUUUUGAUUGGGCAAAAGUUACCUUAAAAUAGUUAAAUUAUGUUAUAAAUUUUGUUUUGAUGCGAUAAACGACACAAAAUUCAUCUACCAAAAACCGGGGAUCGAACCUAGGUCACUUGCGUGACAGACAGGUAUACUUACCACUAAACUAUAACGACACUCUUAGAUUUUGGAAUUUUUUAAAGAUUUUUUCUUUCUUAAUAGAAAUCUCUAUUUUCUUUCAUUUUCUAUCAUUUUCUUAGUAUCUAAAAAUGCCUUAUGAGAUCAAAUCUCUAAGCAUGAUUGAUUAAAUCUCGUUUUCUAUGGAUGAAAGAAGAUUUAGAGGCAAAAUCUAUUGUGAAUUAGAGAAUGAAGUGUGAUUUGAUCCAAUAGAUUGAUUUAUUGAAUUUUAAGGAUUUUUCUUUUCAAAUUGUCUUAAAUGACUACUAUGAUACAAACUAAGUAGAUUCAUUAAAUUAUUAAAGGUUGACUUAAUGAGAUUGAAUAGUUACAUUAUGUGAAUAUUAAAAGAUGAUUUAAGAUGAAUUAAACUUAAUUGUGAAUAAGUAAUCAAUGAAAUUAAAAUUCCUAAUUUGAUAUUUUAAUGGAUCAUAGAUUUAAAACUAAAUCAAAUAUCGAUUUAAGUGAGAUUUUAAGAUCUUCAAGCUAAGUUGAUGAAAAGUGGAUCUUGAUGACCUUUUUAUCAUAUAAAUUGAUUUCUAGUGAAUUUAGAAUCUAAGAACUUAUUCAUUAAUAGAAUUUUCUUUAAUUUUGAUAAAUUUUAUCUUUUUACUUUCAACCAAAU
rnacentral:lncRNA from 1 species